rnacentral:lncRNA from 1 species
GCUCACCACCUCCAAAAGCACACGGCCUGGACAGCCACUCCCUGAAGCAAAUCUGCCAUGUAUCCAUAUAUUCAUGCUGUACUGGGAGAAACAGUUGGAUAGGGGCAUGGUGUUUGUCUUCACAAAGCUCACAGGGGCAAGUCCAGCCAGUCAGCAAGCCACCUGAAUUUACAGGAGUGACAUUUCCACGUUAUUCAAAUUCAAAACAAGCCUACUCGGUGAACCUCAGCCCCAAGGAAUUCACAGUGCUCUACAUCGACUCCCAAUUUGCAAUUCUAGCAUCUCACUGAGACCAGGCAGUACAGAAAGAGACCUUGUGUUUUGUGACAAGUUCUUCUUUCAAGUCUUCAUGCUCAAAGAGAAUUGACUACAGAGUGUCAGGUGUCCUUCAGCUGAGAUUUAACAAGCAGUCAUCACAACUCCAUCUUUCUCCCUCACGAAACUGUUUCUCCUGAAUGCCCAUGAAAAUGUUAUCACAUAGGAAAUAUUUGUGAGACCUGAUCUCUAAUAAUUAUCAGCACUGAACGACUUUUGAAUGAAGAAAAUGG